rnacentral:lncRNA from 1 species
CGAAUGGGGCGAGAAUUGAGAACUUGAUUCUUGUCCGAAGGGUUGCUCAUCAUGCCCCCCCCCCCGGGGCAUCUUACAUAAAAGGAUUAUUUCGACAUCAUCAAGUCAUGAAACAAAAUGAAAUUAUUUCUUCAGCUUCUUUUUUGACUUUGAAGUUUGGCCAAACAUGAUCUACCAGAUGAAAACUUUUAACAAGAUUCAAAUUUGAAGCCCUAAAAAGGCCACUUGAUGGUGGUAGGUAUCGUGGAUUUCUCUAUCAAUCAUGCUCUGAAUAUUACGAAUUUCUUUUGACAUGGCAAGGAAUUGUAAUUAUGCCCUUCUGAUCAAAUCCAUAUUCUUCUUCAGCUUCUUUUAACAAUUGGAUAAACAAUGGAUGAUUGAAAUAAAUAACUUGAACCACAAAUCUCUGUUGAUCAUCUCCUUGUCCAACUUUUAUGCAGCUUCCCCUGGCGGCGGAGGAACGGGGAUUUAUUUUUAUUUUUUCUUGUCACCACCCAUUUUCAAGAAAAUAAGUAAAGCCUCAAGCACCUUUUUUUAGUGCAAACUUAAUAGAAGAGAGUUAAAGAAGGGUGUGAAAACCCAUGACAAAAUAAAAACAUAGGAACCAGAAUAAUAGACAACAUAAAAUCUCUCAAAGAUUCCAAAGGGAAGAUAAAGAGAGAAUAGAGCAAGAGAGAUUUUGUGUGCAUUAUAUAGCAGAUUUAGAUAAGCAUAUAACACACAAGAUGAAAAUAGAACAUGUCUACUUAAAAUUUCGAGAAUUUUUCAAUGUUCUGAGCAAUUAGAGAAAAGUUAAAAGAGUAACUCGAGAAAGUCCAGGUAAAAUAAGACAGCGAUUGAACGUCUUAACUGGCUAAUAAGUAUGUAAACAUCGCUCGAGUUGAGUAAUUUGGCUAGUUUUGACAAGUUGAUUUUGGAAGCAUGCAAAACUUCAUCGGUUAUCAUCCAAUUGAACGUUCCAUUCUAGGUUAUGAGUUGUGGUUUAGAAAUUAGAGGUUAAAUAAUAUGAAACAUUUGCUCGAUGAUUUAUUGAGACUGAUAUAUUGAACAUGUCAUAAUGCAUAAUAAUGUUGAGUUGCCUCAACGUGAACUAGUAAGUAAACACAUAAUUCAAAAAAAAAAUUCUUUUAAAAAAGAACCAUCUUUGACAUAUUAGCAAAAUAAAAAAUGCAUUUAAUCGUUUUUAUUCUCUUUUCGUAUAGUAAGAUAUAAUUUUGGGGACUCAGUUACACUGACAUAUUCUUGAUUUUAUUCGAAUAUAUGUAGUAAGUUCCAACAUGCUAGGACGACACUCGAGGAUCGUAUUGACUGGGGUGAAAUACGUGUUUAGUUCUCAACAAAUUACAUAGGUUCGGAUAGAGGGUGGAUAUAGAGAAUUACAGUCUAUAUGGUCGCUAUAUGAUGUUGAUUUUUUUUAAAAUGCUUUAGUUAUAUUCACAAUCCCCAUAUAGAUAUAGCAAACUCAAACAUAAUAAUAGGUUCGACUCCACUCGAAAGAGAUUGUUGAAUAAUUUAGGGACAUGGUCAUCAACACAAUAUUACCAAUAACUUGGUUAUAUGAAUUAAACUAGAAAAUUUUGUAGAGUUGAAGUCCUAGUCUUUCAUAUUUGAAUUUUCUCUAAGUUUGCGUUAAUCCGUUUUCCUAGUUUUCCAGUUAAAGAUCAUGAAAUAAAACUUAAUGCAAUUUACAUUUUUCCAAUUAGAGUUAGAAUAAGUAAUUUCAAAUAUAAGAUGCACAAUUUUCAUGAAAUCAACAGUAGCCUGAUAUCCAUUAUUACUAAUUAACUUUAGAGCCACAUUUAUUAUUCUAAACUGACGAAAAGUUCAAGCUUUUUCAAGACAGGUGAUGAUCUUUUCGUACUGCAUACAAUUGAAAAUAAUAAAGAGAUAGGCAUCACAAUCCAAUGGUACAUUUUGUCCAAUAUGUCAAAGACUAAUCUAUGUGAGAAAAUUACAAGUGAUUGCACAUGGUGAUUCGUUUAUAGGGGGAAAGUCUAAAGAAAAUAGACCUUUUUUUUCUCUUGUUUAUCUUUUCAAUCAACUGUUUCCAUCAUUCAUAUUCAUUGACAAGUCACAAUACGAGCUCGGAUUCAAAUGCAAUUUGCUAAAAGACAAGACAAACCUAAUCACAAACAUCAUUAAUUGUCGUGCAACAAUAUAAAAUUUCUCAAAUCUCAAAGCAAUUAGAUCAUAAUUAUAGUUAAAAAUAUCCCAUGCAGCAGAGCCUCAACUCUUGUCAAUGACUUAUUCGGUGACAUUGAUUGGUUAAAACGUGUCAUGUCUAACACCACGUAUCAAACUAAUGACGAAUUAUUUGGUAAGGUCCAUUAGUUGAAAACAAGUCAUGCAGCCGUUAUGUCAAGUUUCAUGUAUCAAACUAUUGAUGACUUGUUUGGUAAGGUCAAUUAGUUAUGUUUUGAAAUCAAAAUCCACAAAGGGCUUUAAACUAGCUAGUAUUAUAGCAAAAACGAUUACAUGUGAGAGUGAGUUUUUGUUCAAAAUAUUAGGGUUUCAACCAAAACUAUGAAGUAUAUAUGAUACGGAGUGAAAUUAAGCCACUAUGAAGUAAAUACUUGCCACUCCUGAAAAUCUUUGAAAAGAAACAAAAUCCACAAUCAGCUUGAAAAACCCUAUAGGGUGGGGAGGGGUGGCGUGGAGUGGGGUUAAAGGUUGAGAAAGAGGGAUUUUAAAGCCAGAUCUGAAUAUACCACAAAAUGCCAGAUCUGAUCUAAAAGGCUAUCAUGACCAAAAUCAUUCUAUAUGAUUAACCCUAAAAGGCGCUUCAUCUGACACAAAAGAGAAAUUCAAGAAUGUAAUGAUGAAACUUUUCUAGGUAUCCCAGAAAGAAUUUCGAAAAAAAGUGUCAAAAUCCUUAAUCAUUACACCAAUCUGCCGAAAACCCUUAUCCAGGAAUUCCAUUUAGUCCCAAAAACUGCAAAAAAAAAUUUGAAUCGAACCUUUAUUUGCCUUCAGAUCAAUUAAUCAAAGCCCAGAAGAAGCAGUAAUUGGGGGGAAUGAAGCCUGGUCCGACAACGCUUGCAAGAGAUCUAUUUUGUUUAUGAAUUGAUCGAAACAAAAGAGUUCUCGAGCCAGACAACAUUCCCCUCAAAAAAGCACCCUCCUUUUCUUGAUUUUUCAUCUCAAAAACCCUUCAUCAAUUAUAUAUACAUAUAUAUGUGUAUCUGUGUGUGAGAUCUUAUCUCAGUUUUUGGCCUCUCAUUUCUUUAUCCCCCAAAACUUUCGCCUUCUUUCAAGGGGGAGAGAGAAAGAGAGAUGAAGAGGAGGAAUUGUAUGAUGGGGGUUAUAACAAGGGAGAAAAUUGAAUUUCAAACGAAAAAGACAAAAGCUAUUAGCAGACACUGGCCCUACC